rnacentral:rRNA from 1 species
CUUGCAGGGUACUCGAGUGGCGAACGGGUGAGUAACACGUGGGUGAUCUGCCCUGCACUUCGGGAUAAGCUUGGGAAACUGGGUCUAAUACCGGAUAGGACCGCACUUUAGUGUGUGUGGUGGAAAGUUUUUUCGGUGUAGGAUGAGCUCGCGGCCUAUCAGCUUGUUGGUGGGGUAAUGGCCUACCAAGGCGGCGACGGGUAGCCGGCCUGAGAGGGUGUACGGCCACAUUGGGACUGAGAUACGGCCCAGACUCCUACGGGAGGCAGCAGUGGGGAAUAUUGCACAAUGGGCGCAAGCCUGAUGCAGCGACGCCGCGUGGGGGAUGAAGGCCUUCGGGUUGUAAACUCCUUUCGCUAGGGACGAAGCUUUGUUGUGACGGUACCUAGAUAAGAAGCACCGGCUAACU